GCGGGAAUUCGAUUUUCCGGUUGAUCCUGCCGGACCUUAUUGCUAUCGGGGUGAGACUAAGCCAUGCUAGUUGUGCGCUCCCUAGUUAUGUUGGGAGAGCAGCGAAAAGCUCAGUAACAUGUAGUUAAUCUGCCCUUAGGACAGGGAUAACCCCGGGAAACUGGGGCUAAUAUCCGAUAGACGGAAACAUCUGGAAUGGUUUUCCAUCGAAAGGUUCCUAGAAACAUGCUUCUAGGAAUGCCUAAGGAUGAGACUGCAACCGAUCAGGUAGUUGGUGGGGUAACGGCCCACCAAGCCUAUAACCGGUACGGGCCCUGAGAGGGGGAGCCCGGAGAUGGGAACUGAGACAAGGUCCCAGGCCCUACGGGGCGCAGCAGGCGCGAAACCUCCACAAUGCGCGAAAGCGUGAUGGGGUUACCCCGAGUGCCGCCCGUUGAGGGGGGCUUUUCCUCAGUGUAAGGAGCUGGGGGAAUAAGGGGGGGGCAAGACUGGUGUCAGCCGCCGCGGUAAUACCAGCCCCCCGAGUGAUAAGGACGAUUAUUUAGCCUAAAGCGUCCGUAGCCGGCUUAGCAAGUCUUUCGUUAAAUCUAACGACUUAAUCGUCAGAAUGCGGAAGAUACUAUUAGGCUUGAGGGCGGGAGAGGUUGACGGUAGUCCCAGGGUAGGGGUGAAAUCCUAUAAUCCUGGGAGGACCACCAGUGGCGAAGGCGGUCAACUAGAACGCGCCUGACGGUGAGGGACGAAAGCUGGGGUAGCGAACCGGAUUAGACACCCGGGUAGUCCCAGCUGUAAACGAUG
rnacentral:rRNA from 1 species